rnacentral:rRNA from 1 species
CCUACGGGAGGCAGCAGUGAGGAAUAUUGGUCAAUGGACGAGAGUCUGAACCAGCCAAGUAGCGUGAAGGAUGACUGCCCUAUGGGUUGUAAACUUCUUUUAUAAAGGAAUAAAACGAGGCACGUGUGCCUUUUUGCAUGUACUUUAUGAAUAAGGAUCGGCUAACUCCGUGCCCGCAGCCGCGGUAAUACGGAGGAUCCGAGAGUUAUCCGGAUUUAUUGGGUUUAAAGGGAGCGUAGAUGGGUUGUUAAGUCAGUUGUGAAAGUUUGCGGCUCAACCGUAAAAUUGCAAUUGAUACUGGCAGUCUUGAGUACAGUUGAGGUAGGCGGAAUUCGUGGUGUAGCGGUGAAAUGCUUAGAUAUCACGAAGAACCCCGAUUGCGAAGGCAGCUUACUAAACUGUGACUGACAUUGAGGCUCGAAAGUGUGGGUAUCAAACAGGAUUAGAUACCCGUGUAGUC